GGGCGUCUAGCUCAGUGGUAGAGCGCCUGCUUUGCACAUUAUGUGGUAUGCAGGAGGCCUGGAGUUCAAUCCUCCAGUCGUCCA